AAUAGUUUCCAUAGUGAGAGCUGCAUACAGCGGAGACUUAAUCCAAAAAUAAUGAUGUUGCGGACAUUGUUAUGCUAUGUAUUUCUGUGGAUAUCAUGUAAGUUAAGGAAAAUUAUUGUUUUCUCUUGUUUUUGUAUUUUAAAUAAAUACAGAGUUUAAUCCUUUUUAUCUUUACAGAUGUCCGUUCACAGACCCCAGUACUAAGUCCUCCAGUUGCAUCUGUUGGUUCUGGACAAAGUUUCACUUUUAAUUGCAUUGUAGGUGUCAAGGAUAGUAAUGGAAUGGCUUUUCUUAAACAAUCAGAGGGUGAAACUCCAAAGCUUAUUUUUGCCAACCAUCAUACAUUUCAAUCUCCAGCAUAUGGACCAGAUAUGUCUUCAACCCACUACACCGGCUCAAUAAACAGCGCAGGAACUGAAUAUCAAUUAAUUAUUAAAAACACAGAUAUUAAAGAUACUUCACUGUAUCACUGUGUGAAAUGGUAUGAUAGUCUUAGUGCAUGACACAGUGAUAUGAAACAUGACAAAAACUGUUUGUGCCUGUUGCAGAUGAACUAGAGUAGGAAGACCACAAGAAAAAAAAAACAUAACAUUGUAUAACAAAAAAAAACAAA